rnacentral:rRNA from 1 species
GAUGAACGCUAGCUACAGGCUUAACACAUGCAAGUCGAGGGGUAACGAGAGGAAAGCUUGCUUUCCUUGUCGACGACCGGCGCACGGGUGAGUAACGCGUAUCCAACCUGCCCCCAACUAGGGAAUAACCUUGCGUAAGUAAGACUAAUACCCUAUAAUUUCCUCAGAUGUCAUCUGACGAGGAAUAAAGAUUUAUCGGUUGUGGAUGGGGAUGAGUCUGAUUAGCUUGUUGGCGGGGUAACGGCCCACCAAGGCAACGAUCAGUAGGGGUUCUGAGAGGAAGGUCCCCCACAUUGGAACGGAGACACGGUCCAAACUCCUACGGGAGGCAGCAGUGAGGAAUAUUGGUCAAUGGGCGGAAGCCUGAACCAGCCAAGUAGCGUGCAGGAUGACGGCCCUAUGGGUUGUAAACUGCUUUUAUACAGGAAUAAAGUUAGCCACGUGUGGUUAUUUGUAGGUACUGUAUGAAUAAGGACCGGCUAAUUCCGUGCCAGCCGCCGCGGUAA